rnacentral:rRNA from 1 species
UGGGGAAUAUUGGACAAUNGGCGCAAGCCUGAUCCAGCCAUCCCGCGUGGGUGAAGAAGGCCUUCGGGUUGUAAAGCCCUUUUGUUGGGAAAGAAAUCCAGCCGGCUAAUACCUGGUUGGGAUGACGGUACCCNAAGAAUAAGCACCGGCUAACUUCGUGCCAGCAGCCGCGGUAAUACGAAGGGUGCAAGCGUUACUCGGAAUUANNGGGCGUAAAGCGUGCGUAGGUGGUCGUUUAAGUACCGUUGUGAAAGCCCUGGGCUCAACCUGGGAACUGCAGUGGAUACUGGGCGACUAGAGUGUGGUAGAGGGUAGCGGAAUUCCUGGUGUAGCAGUGAAAUGCGUAGAGAUCNGGAGGAACAUCCAUGGCGAAGGCAGCUACCUGGACCAACACUGACACUGAGGCACGAAAGCGUGGGGAGCAAAUCAGGAUUAGAUANCCCUGGUAGUCCACGCCCUAAACGAUGCGAANCUGGAUGUUGGGUGCAAUUUGGCACGCAGUAUCGAACGCUAAACGCGUUAANUUCACCGCCUGGGGAGUUCGGUCGCANGACCUG